GAGAGGAAACAAAAGAGAGUGAGUUUCCAUAUGAGAGGAAAUUCUGUUAGUGUAAACAUCACAAGAGCAAAUACAAUUCUACUCUCAAUAUUCAGGGGUACUUUUCAUACUCUAUUUUUUAUUUUUAUAAUAAAUACAAAAUUCUCUCAAAGGGUCUCUCUGUUUUGUAUUCACUCUAACAUUUCUCAACCAUUAACACAAACACCAAUGCUUC
rnacentral:lncRNA from 1 species